CAUUCACGUAUAUAAGAAAAAGUAAAGGCCCAAGAAUAGAUCCUUGAGACACUUCACAAGAAAUUAAAGAUGAAUUUUUUGUGCAUCACUAAUCAUAAACAGAGUCGAUUGUCGAUACAAUAAUUACUGAUUCGUUAUAGCUGGCAACUUCUACUUGUGUUAAAGUACCUUAAAUCCAACAGAUAUCAUCGUUACGAUAUUAAUUUGUUUGUAAAUUGUUUUAGAAAAUAAAUUUAAAGAUAACUUUUAAA